CUGUCUCUCUCUGUCCCAAAAAUAAAUAAAUAAAAAAACGUUGAAAAAAAAGAGUCAGAUGCUCAACCGACUGAGCCAUCCAGGCGCCCCUCCAUAUGUAUCUUUGAUUAGAUACAAAUACAUCUGAAAAAAGUGCUUUGAGAGGCCAUUACACAAGCGGACAACAGCCAGACCAUAUAUAAAAAUAGAAUUUUGACCCACAGUCUGCAGUGCGCUGCCUAGAAAACCGACCCUCUUAUAAACAGCCCAGGAAGCCAGCCUGCUUUGGGUCAGACUUAAAGGAAACAGGAUUGCUAUCUCCAGUGACCACCCAGGACCACAAACAGCCACUUCUGCAAGAAUGGGCCUUAAAGGGCCGGGACUUGAUUAACACCCAACAGCUUCCCUAAGGUUCGUCCCUGCUUCUAACUUCGGACGAAUCAGAGAAAGCCAAAUACGCAGCCUGACCAAUCGCCUUCUAGGUUCCCCGGGCCAACGGCCUCCAAUCAGGGCACAGCUGAAGCCUUCUCUUUUUUUCCACCACGAAGCUUGCCCACCCCCCUCUGCCUGUCUUCGAGCCUCUGCCCAAACGCAAGCGAGAGUGGCUGACUCCCUGGCUAGAGCGAACUCCGAAUAAAUAGCCUUUGCUUUUCUCACUGGUCUCAGUCUUUGCUGAUUUGCACAGCUUCGCAUGGAUUUGCCGACCAGUCCUCACCGCGACCCAUGGUGGGAGGUGUAAUUGCCCCCGCUUUACAGACAUUUGGGGACCAGAGGCUCCGAAAGGUUCGGCCGUUUGACGAAAGGGGAGUACCGCCGGCUCCCAGGAGACAGCUGUGAACCCAGGCCUCCCAGAGCCGACAUUCCAGGGGCUUCCUCCGGGGUUCUACAAGGCUCCCUACACUGUGAGUCAUUGGCACAGAGCUUCUGUCCUUACAACCCACGCCUGGGCUUGAAACCCCCCCCCCCCCCAGCGCUGGCCUAGGGUGUCCCUCCUGCUCUCCUGCCUCAGGCGUGCUGGCCUCCUGCCUGCUCAGUGCAUGAAUCCCACAGCUUCCUGCCACUGGCCCUUUGCACAGACCAAACCCUCUGCCCGAACAUCUCCCAAAGCUCCUUUCCCCUCGACUUAGAAUUAUCAGUAAUGAUCAAGCGUUGUCGAAGGAGCACCUUUCCGGGGUAACCUCCAUACUACUGCUAUUUAUAAUUUCAUCAUCCCCGUGCGUGACUUUUCCUUCGCGGUCCCUGCACUGUUCCUGAUGACCUGUUUUGUGUGUGUGUGAUUAUUAGUUAAUAUCUGUCUCCCCCGCCGGGCUGUGAGCCCCCGGAGGGCGGGGUCAGGGCUGCCUCAGUCUCCACUGUGUCCUAGCCCUGACCAGGGCAGUCCAGACGCAGAGGCGGCCUUGGGGCAGAGGCUCGUGGGGGAAUCUUUGCUGAAGGAACCAGUGGAUGAGCAGUUCGGCAUCUCCGGAGGCAGCCGUGCAUUCGAAUCCCAGCCCUGAAGCUAAUAUUGGGGACAUGCCUUAAACCACCUGAGCCUCAGCUCCCUUCUGAAUACAAUGGAGAUUUAACCACGGGUGGGGUAAACUGGGUACCAGAUCACUCCUCUGUUUAAUACCCUCUAGUGGCUUCUCUCAUUCUCCCCGUGGCCAACAAGCCCAGCCCCUGUGUGCCUCUCAGGCCUCGACUCCUAACACCCAACUCGCACACUGCCUUAUGGCGACGGCAUCCUUCUGUCUAUAUGCUUUGAACACACCAGGCUAGACCUGCCUCAGGGCCUUUGCACUUGCUGUUGCCUCUUCUGUCCCUCAGAAAUCUGCAAGGGCUCCUUUUCCUUCCUUCUGCUCAAAUGUCACUUCUUCAGCAAGCUUACCUGCUGACCUCCCGUCCCAGAUGACAUCAUCCUGUUUAAUCUUUUUUUUUUUUUUUUUUUUUUUUUUUUACUGGGUAAAUCAUAAUCUCUCUGCCCCUCAAUUUCCUCGUCUGUACAAUGAGUCUGAUGAUAUUUCCCACUCACAGGCCUGCAGUGAGGAUUCAAUGAGUUAUACAUAAAGCAUGUGAUAAGCACCAAAUAAAGUUAGCGCUGUUAUGGUUAA